GCUGUGUGUACUAUGUAAUCAAAUUGAUAAAUACACUGAAGGUUAACAGCAGGAACUUUUAGAAAAUAUGACAUUUUGAUGGUCUGUCUUAAUGUCUUUAUUUAAAAGCAUUGAAAUUAAUUAUUCUUGCUUGCUGCUCAGCCAGGGAAAGAAAAGAACUCAGACAUGGGGGUCUUAAAACAGGGCGAUUAUGUGUGGGUGGACUCUAGCACAGGUGUGCCGAUCGGUGCUGAGGUCAGAAUCACAGAAGCAGGCAAAAUUCAACUCAUAGAUGAUGAAGGAAAGGAGCACAAAGUCAAACAGUACAGCUCCCUGAAGCACAUACAUGC
ensembl:lncRNA